rnacentral:rRNA from 1 species
GAGUUUGAUCCUGGCUCAGAUUGAACGCUGGCGGCAUGCCUUACACAUGCAAGUCGAACGGCAGCACGGGUGCUUGCACCUGGUGGCGAGUGGCGAACGGGUGAGUAAUACAUCGGAACAUGUCCUGUAGUGGGGGAUAGCCCGGCGAAAGCCGGAUUAAUACCGCAUACGAUCUACGGAUGAAAGCGGGGGACCUUCGGGCCUCGCGCUAUAGGGUUGGCCGAUGGCUGAUUAGCUAGUUGGUGGGGUAAAGGCCUACCAAGGCGACGAUCAGUAGCUGGUCUGAGAGGACGACCAGCCACACUGGGACUGAGACACGGCCCAGACUCCCACGGGAGGCAGCAGUGGGGAAUUUUGGACAAUGGGCGAAAGCCUGAUCCAGCAAUGCCGCGUGUGUGAAGAAGGCCUUCGGGUUGUAAAGCACUUUUGUCCGGAAAGAAAUCCUUGGCUCUAAUACAGUCGGGGGAUGACGGUACCGGAAGAAUAAGCACCGGCUAACUACGUGCCAGCAGCCGCGGUAAUACGUAGGGUGCGAGCGUUAAUCGGAAUUACUGGGCGUAAAGCGUGCGCAGGCGGUUUGCUAAGACCGAUGUGAAAUCCCCGGGCUCAACCUGGGAACUGCAUUGGUGACUGGCAGGCUGGAGUAUGGCAGAGGGGGGUAGAAUUCCACGUGUAGCAGUGAAAUGCGUAGAGAUGUGGAGGAAUACCGAUGGCGAAGGCAGCCCCCUGGGCCAAUACUGACGCUCAUGCACGAAAGCGUGGGGAGCAAACAGGAUUAGAUACCCUGGUAGUCCACGCCCUAAACGAUGUCAACUAGUUGUUGGGGAUUCAUUUCCUUAGUAACGUAGCUAACGCGUGAAGUUGACCGCCUGGGGAGUACGGUCGCAAGAUUAAAACUCAAAGGAAUUGACGGGGACCCGCACAAGCGGUGGAUGAUGUGGAUUAAUUCGAUGCAACGCGAAAAACCUUACCUACCCUUGACAUGGUCGGAAUCCCGCUGAGAGGUGGGAGUGCUCGAAAGAGGACCGGCGCACAGGUGCUGCAUGGCUGUCGUCAGCUCGUGUCGUGAGAUGUUGGGUUAAGUCCCGCAACGAGCGCAACCCUUGUCCUUAGUUGCUACGCAAGAGCACUCUAAGGAGACUGCCGGUGACAAACCGGAGGAAGGUGGGGAUGACGUCAAGUCCUCAUGGCCCUUAUGGGUAGGGCUUCACACGUCAUACAAUGGUCGGAACAGAGGGUUGCCAACCCGCGAGGGGGAGCUAAUCCCAGAAAACCGAUCGUAGUCCGGAUUGCACUCUGCAACUCGGGUGCAUGAAGCUGGAAUCGCUAGUAAUCGCGGAUCAGCAUGCCGCGGUGAAUACGUUCCCGGGUCUUGUACACACCGCCCGUCGCACCAUGGGAGUGGGUUUUACCAGAAGUGGCUAGUCUAACCGCAAGGAGGACGAAAACCACGGUAGGAUUCAUG